CAAAACUGGGCAACUCUCUCACGCACGCUUUCUGCGUAUAUUAGGAGAUUGCACUUGUGGAACCGAAACACAUAUAUAGUAUUGUGCGUUACCACUGCGACAUCCGUCAUCACUGCUGAUAGUAAUAUUCUUCGCCUGGAGUUUCGCCUGCCCACGAAUAAGUCAUCAAAAUGAAGUUAUUCGCUACUGUGUGUGUCGCUGCCGUUUUAUUGGGUACAUUGAGCGCUGGUCCUGUAUCCUUGGAUUGCACUGAUGAGACUGCUGUGCGUGUUCUGCAAACAUGUCAGGAAGAAAUGAGAGCGAACCCUUUAUUGCAACCUCUGUUGCUCCCACAUGACGCACCCGAAUCACCCGAUUCAAACAACGCUCCCGAUCAUCGUGCUUUUUGCUGUGGUACUCACAUGGCCUCCAGCUGCAUGAGAAGACACCUAGGAGUACAGUGCCCUGUCCUUGUCGCAGAGGUGGUGAGCAUAAUGAACGGAGACCUCAAGCGUUUCUUCUCAAACAAGCCUUGCGAUCUCAACCCGUGCUGAGUGCUGAUAAGCGCAUAUCAUGUGUCAUAGAGGAAGCCACAUUUACAGGAGGGAUAUCUUUCAGGAAGAAUAAACAACUUGAAAACCAA